rnacentral:rRNA from 1 species
AUUGAACGCUGGCGGCAGGCCUAACACAUGCAAGUCGAGCGAGCGGCGGACGGGUGAGUAAUGUCUGGGAAACUGCCUGAUGGAGGGGGAUAACUACUGGAAACGGUAGCUAAUACCGCAUACCAUCAGAUGUGCCCAGGUGGGAUUGGCUAGUAGGUGGGGUAACGGCUCACCUAGGCGACGAUCCCUAGAUGGUCUGAGAGGAUGACCAGCCACACGUGCACUGAGACACGGUCCAGACUCCUACGAGAGGCGGCAGUGGGUAAUAUUGCACAAUGGGCGCAUGCCUGAUGCAGCCAUGCCGCGUUGGUGAAGAAGGCCUUCGGGUUAUAAAGCACUUUCAGUGGGGAGGCGUUACCCGCAGAAGAAGAACCGGCUAACUCCAUGCCAGCAGCCGCGGUAAUAC